rnacentral:ncRNA from 2 species
AUUGUGCGAAAAUGCAUUGGUUCUAAUCAGAAUUAUUCAUUAAAAAUAACGGGGAAAGUUUGGUGAAAAUCCAGCGCUGUCCCGCAACUGUGACGAGGCAAAUUUUUCUUUUUAAUCUUUGUCUCUAAGUCAGAACACCCGCCAAUCGCCACAAAAAACA